GCUUUACAAGCUUUCUAUCCGCUUUGGCAAUUAUCUCAACAAGCAGAUUUGACCAUAGUUUGUCAUCAGUGGCUGAGAUCAAGUUGGUAGUGAUGGCACUGGCACAAUCUCUUGACAAGCUGAUAGGACGGCAAAAUGAAGGGAGUUUAUUGCUACAUGAUUCCGUUGCAUCACUGAUGGAGGCAUUUCUGAAGUUUAAAGAACUGGAAGAAGAGGAAGAUGAAGAUGAAGAAAGUGAAG
rnacentral:misc_RNA from 1 species